rnacentral:misc_RNA from 1 species
GAUGAAGAACGUAGCGAAAUGCGAUAAGUAAUGUGAAUUGCAGAAUUCAGUGAAUCAUCGAAUCUUUGAACGCACAUUGCGCCCGCCAGUAUUCUAGCGGGCAUGCCUGUUCGAGCGUCAUUUCAACCAUCAAGCCCCCGGCUUGUGUUGGGGACCUGCGGCUGCCGCAGGCCCUGAAAAGCAGUGGCGGGCUCGCUGUCACACCGAGCGUAGUAGCAUACAUCUCGCUCUGGGCGUGCUGCGGGUUCCGGCCGUUAAACCACCUUCAUAACCCAAGGUUGACCUCGGAUCAGGUAGGAAGACCCGCUGAACUUAAGCAUAUCAAUAAGCGGAGGA